rnacentral:rRNA from 1 species
CUGGACUUGACAUUGAUAGAACCCGAUAGAGAUAUUGGGGUACCAGCUUGCUGGAACUUGAAGACAGGUGCUGCACGGCUGUCGUCAGCUCGUGUCGUGAGAUGUUGGGUUAAGUCCCGCAACGAGCGCAACCCUCGUCCUUAGUUGCUAGCAGUUCGGCUGAGCACUCUAGGGAUAUUGCCUUCGUAAGGAGGAGGAAGGUGAGGACGACGUCAAGUCAUCAUGGCCCUUAUGUCCAGGGCGACACACGUGCUACAAUGGGGUAGACAAUGAGACGCGAUACCGCGAGGUGGAGCAAAUCUAUAAACUGUCUCCCAGUUCGGAUUGUUCUCUGCAACUCGAGAACAUGAAGUUGGAAUCGCUAGUAAUCGU